UACGGAAGGCAGCAGUGGGGAAUAUUGCACAAUGGGCGAAAGCCUGAUGCAGCUAUGCCGCGUGUAUGAAGAAGGCCUUAGGGUUGUAAAGUACUUUCAUCGGGGAGGAAAAAACAAAACUAAUAAUUUUAUUUCUUGACGUUACCCGAAAAAGAAGCACCGGCUAACUCCGUGCCAGCAGCCGCGGUAAUACGGAGGGUGCUAGCGUUAAUCAGAAUUACUGGGCGUAAAGAGCACGUAGGUGGUUUUUUUAAAGUCAGAUGUGAAUCCCUGGGCUUAACCUAGGAACUGCAUUUUGAAACUGAAAUACUAGAGUAUCGUAGAGGGAGGUAGAAUUCUAGGUGUAGCGGUGAAAUGCGUAGAUAUCUGGAGGAAUACCUGUGGCGAAAGCGGCCUCCUAAACGAAUACUGACACUGAGGUGCGAAAGCGUGGGGAGCAAACGAGGAUUAGAUACC
rnacentral:rRNA from 1 species